rnacentral:misc_RNA from 1 species
AACGCAUAUUGCACUCCCCGGCAUUCCGGGGAGUAUGCCUGUUUCAGCAUCAGAAUCAUCCUCGAGCCCACGCAAUUUUUGUGCCGGGAACUCGGAGUUGGGCCUUGCAGGUUUUCCUGGGAAAGCGUGCUGGCCUGAAAUUCAGUCGAAGCUGCAUCCAAACCGCUGAGGCUUUUGAAAAAAGGCGUCAUAGUUGGCCUCUGGUCAUCUUUCGCCGAUCUUUUUCAUGACCGAAGGGCUUGUGUUUUGUGCUUCUUUGUGGUUAUGUACUUAUUGUAUAUGAUCACGCCUCUUCCAUAACUUGAUCUGAAAUCAGGCAGGACUACCCGCUGAACUUAA